rnacentral:rRNA from 1 species
GUGGGGAAUAUUGGACAAUGGGGGGAACCCUGAUCCAGCCAUGCCGCGUGUGUGAAGAAGGCCUUUUGGUUGUAAAGCACUUUAAGCGAGGAGGAGGCUUACCUGGUUAAUACCUAGGAUAAGUGGACGUUACUCGCAGAAUAAGCACCGGCUAACUCUGUGCCAGCAGCCGCGGUAAUACAGAGGGUGCGAGCGUUAAUCGGAUUUACUGGGCGUAAAGCGCGCGUAGGUGGUUAAUUAAGUCAAAUGUGAAAUCCCCGAGCUUAACUUGGGAAUUGCAGUCGAUACUGGUUAGCUAGAGUAUGGGAGAGGAUGGUAGAAUUCCAGGUGUAGCGGUGAAAUGCGUAGAGAUCUGGAGGAAUACCGAUGGCGAAGGCAGCCAUCUGGCCUAAUACUGACACUGAGGUGCGAAAGCAUGGGGAGCAAACAGGAUUAGAUACCCUUGUAGUCC